UACGGUGGGGGCAAGCGUUGUUCGGAAUUACUGGGCGUAAAGGGCUCGUAGGCGGCCAACUAAGUCAGACGUGAAAUCCCUCGGCUUAACCGGGGAACUGCGUCUGAUACUGGAUGGCUUGAGUUUGGGAGAGGGAUGCGGAAUUCCAGGUGUAGCGGUGAAAUGCGUAGAUAUCUGGAGGAACACCGGUGGCGAAGGCGGCAUCCUGGACCAACACUGACGCUGAGUGAGCGAAAGCCAGGGGAGCAAACGGG
rnacentral:rRNA from 1 species